AUGUGCGGGAAUCUGUCAUCUAUUUCUUCAAAUUUCUGCUGGGGUGAAGCCAAUGGUGAGAAAAGAGUACAUUGGAUUGCAUGGGAUAAAAUGUGUUCGAGAAAGCAAGAAGGAGUGCUUGGAUUCAGGGACACGGAAGUUUUCAACCAAGCUUUGCUUGCCAAGCAAGCUUGGAGACUGCUGCAGGUGCCAAACUCUUUGUGUGCGCGAGUGCUCAAAGCGAGGUACUACCCUAACAGCUCCAUACUCAAUGCAACUUGCCCCGAUGGGGGAUCUUUCACGUUCAGAAGCAUCAUUCACGGCCAUGAACUACUCCUGGAGGGGCUAAUUUGGCGUAUUGGAGAUGGAUCCAGAGUGCGCAUUCAUCAUGAUAACUGGAUUCCGCGCAAAGGCAGCCUGAAGCCACUGGGCCAGGUGUUUGUCACGGGCAUCACUAGAGUGGGCGAUCUGUUAAAUGAAACAAGUACUGGAUGGGACAAGGAGAAGGUGCAGAAUAUGUCCCCCCCAGGCGAAGCAUGCGAUAUCAUGCAAAUUACUGUGGGGGGGCCGGGAGUGGAGGAUUAUAUCGCAUGGAAUUACACGAAAGAUGGAGUGUUCACGGUUAGAUCGGCCUAUCACCUCGGUAUGGGCAGAAAAGGGCAAAGACAGGGAAUCAGGGGUCGUCAUCUUCUGUCGUGA
rnacentral:rRNA from 1 species